rnacentral:rRNA from 1 species
UACGAAGGAUUCGAGCGUUAUCCGGAUUAUUGGGUUUAAAGGGUGCGUAGGUGGAUUAAUAAGUCAGUGGUGAAAGCCCGGAGCUCAACUCCGGAACUGCCAUUGAUACUGUUAGUCUUGAGUACAGUUGAGGUGGGCGGAAUGUGUCAUGUAGCGGUGAAAUGCUUAGAUAUGACACAGAACACCGAUUGCGAAGGCAGCUCACUAAGCUGUAACUGACACUGAGGCACGGAAAGCGUGGGGAGCAAACAGG